UUAGCACCCUAAGAGUGCACACAACCAUCUGUAACUCCUGUCACUGGGGAACUAGUGCCCUCUUCUGGCUUGUUUAGGUACUCGCAUACGUGCAGUACACAUGAACUUAGGUAGGCACAACACAAACAUAUAAAUAAUACUUUAAAAUAAAUCUUUAAAAUACUUUUUAAAAAUUUUCUUAGCCCAUUAGGCAGUUGACUGACUAAACCACAGAGCUGCUUUUAACUUCCAUCCACCUCACUCCUGGUUCUUUCUGCUGUAGCAGACUGUUGGCGUGUACUGUUCAUCAGUAACUGGAGGGGAAAUGCAUGACUUGCCUGCAGUCUUCUUUUUCUUUAUUCUUGGCAAUGCCAUAUAAAUAAUAUUGGACACUUGUGUUUUCAGUUAACAUUUUAAGUAUAUAAUGAUAUAGUAAAAUCAAAAUAAUAUUGACUAUUGAAAAGUGAAUUGAGGGGAUGGAGAGAUGGUUCGUCAGUUAAAUGCACUUGUUGUUCUUUCAGAGGACCCAGGUUCAGUUACCAGCACCCAGAUGGUGGUUUAUGACCAUCCGUAACUCCAGUUCCAGGGGAUCCAGUGCUAUCUUCUGACCUCUUCUGGUACCAAGCACACAUGUAAUGCAUGUGCAGAUAUGCAGACAAAGGACUUGAACAUCAAAUAAAAGGAACAUAUCUUUGAUAAAUUGUAAGUGAAUUGAAAAAAAAAAAGUAGGGGAUGGAGAAAUGGCUCUGUAGUUAAGAGCACUGGCCGUUCUUCCAGCUGAUCUGGGUUUGAUUCCCAGUACCAACAUGGCAACUCAUAACUCUGUAAUUCCAGUUUCAGGGAAUCUGCCACCCUCUUUGUGUCUCUUAGGCACUAGGCAUGCAUGUGAUAUAUAGAUAUACAUGCAGGCAACACACACACAUACACAAAUCACACUCAAAAACUGUCUGUUUUUUAAGGAGCAAUCUAAUAGUAAUAACAACAAUAAAAAAGACAAACAACUUGGCAUGGUGAUGCGUGCCUGUAAUGCCAGCACUGUGGAGGCAGUGGAGGAAGCCUGCGGAUGAUCUGUUAGAGCAAGUUCCAGGCCAAGGCUACAUAGUGAGACCCUGUCUCACAAACCAAACCAAACCAAACCAAACCAAACCAAACCAAACCAAACCAAACCAAACC
rnacentral:lncRNA from 1 species